GCAGGGACGAGGCGGGCAAGGAGGUGAGAGAGCCGGACACUCCAGAUGACAGUACGACAAAGACCCGGACAGAGACCCCCGCAUGGCAGUGUUUCUGGCCUCCGUCGCCUUAGAUUCCUCUUGCUCGGUGCUUUGUGACCCGCCUCUCUCUCUCUGCAGGUCUCACUCCCCCGGAGUUGCUCUCUCAGCCCCAGUGCACCGGGAACCCUGCGGUGGCGAGGAAGGCACCUCUGGGCACGUCCACUGCCCACAGGAGAAAGACAAGUGACCCAGACUUAAAUCCACCCGCACCACAGAGACGCCAGCCUCUCCCCAGCGAUGCGGCAGCAGGAGGAGGAACGGCAUUCUGGACCAGGUUCUUCUUCAGUCGGAAGAAGGAAAAGAAGAUUCGUUCCCAGCACACCACACCAGAACCCUUCCCCCUCCCCUCGGGCAGGAACUCGGGCCACCCAAGCCCAUCUGUUUCCUGGCUUCCAUGAUCUCUUUGUUUCCCUCUUUCUCUGUAUCCCCCUUGAUUUGUGAAACUAAGGGAGAUGAUCUCUUCUUAUUUAACUUACUUUGAAGCUGAUUCAAGUUGUUUCAAUAACAUAUUGGUCUCAAUAAAAAGCAAUGU